UAUGGAAGGCAGCAGUGGGGAAUAUUGCACAAUGGGCGCAAGCCUGAUGCAGCCAUGCCGCGUGUAUGAAAAAGGCCUUCGGGUUGUAAAGUACUUUCAGUCGUGAGGAAGGUGUUAAGGUUAAUAACCUUAGCAAUUGACGUUAGCGACAGAAGAAGCACCGGCUAACUCCGUGCCAGCAGCCGCGGUAAUACGGAGGGUGCGAGCGUUAAUCGGAAUUACUGGGCGUAAAGGGCACGCAGGCGGUUAAUUAAGUUGGAUGUGAAAUCCCCGGGCUUAACCUGGGAAUGGCAUUCAAGACUGGUUAGCUAGAGUCUUGUAGAGGGGGUAGAAUUCCAUGUGUAGCGGUGAAAUGCGUAGAGAUGUGGAGGAAUACCGGUGGCGAAGGCGGCCCCUGGGACAAGACUGACGCUCAUGUGCGAAAGCGUGGGGAGCGAAACAGGGAUUAGAUACC
rnacentral:rRNA from 1 species